rnacentral:rRNA from 1 species
AGAGUUUGAUCCUGGCUCAGAUUGAACGCUGGCGGCAUGCUUUACACAUGCAAGUCGAACGGCAGCGCGGGGCAACCUGGCGGCGAGUGGCGAACGGGUGAGUAAUAUAUCGGAACGUACCCAGAAGUGGGGGAUAACGUAGCGAAAGUUACGCUAAUACCGCAUACGAUCUACGGAUGAAAGUGGGGGACCUUCGGGCCUCAUGCUUGUGGAGCGGCCGAUAUCUGAUUAGCUAGUUGGUAGGGUAAAGGCCUACCAAGGCAACGAUCAGUAGCUGGUCUGAGAGGACGACCAGCCACACUGGGACUGAGACACGGCCCAGACUCCUACGGGAGGCAGCAGUGGGGAAUUUUGGGCAAUGGGCGCAAGCCUGAUCCAGCAAUGCCGCGUGAGUGAAGAAGGCCUUCGGGUUGUAAAGCUCUUUUGUCAGGGAAGAAACGGCUGAGGAUAAUACCUCGGCUAAUGACGUACCG